UAGUUUCUGCUUGAAGGCAUGUAUCAAAAGGGCCGUUCAGUUACCGAUUUCGAAGCGGUACAUGGAUCGCUUGGAACAACACGGUGUACGAUACCAAUCAUCGUUCAUGUUCGCUUGGAACGCAUUUUUUAUAAUGCGCAUGACGAGGGCAGUACGAAGGACGGUUUUCAUGUCACUUGGAACGCGCCUCUUGACUCCGAAUCGAAUCUUAACCUUACUUUACAGGUGAUUUGAUUAUGUACAAAAAAUGUAAAUAAAUUAAACCAAGUAUGUUAUAAUUUAAAACUCCUUAAAUUACAGUCUUUUGAAAAAAAUUAAACUCAAACGAGAUAUACUUGUUUACAGUGCAAAUUAAUGGCAAUAAUAGGGAUUUACGAUUUAAUUUGCAGGAAAAACAUGGGCAACCUAACCAGUUGGUAAAAUUUCAAUUCAAAAACUCGUUAGAUUUUACUGUGUGGAUGUCACAGGAAGAGAAACAAAAUAAUAUUCAGUCACAGGAGUACAAGAACAUGAAACAUCUUAUUAUGUAUGUAUGCCACUCUCAAACAAUUAUUGUACAAAACAAGAUAGAGAAAGA